UGAAAGUUCCGACGGUUUAAGAUGGGCAUGCGUUGUAUUAGUUAGUUGGUGUGGUAACGGCUCACCAAGACUACGAUACAUAGGGGGACUGAGAGGUUAACCCCCCCACACUGGUACUGAGACACGGACCAGACUCCUACGGGAGGCAGCAGUGAGGAAUAUUGGUCAAUGGACGCAAGUCUGAACCAGCCAUGCCGCGUGCAGGAAGACGGCUCUAUGAGUUGUAAACUGCUUUUGUACGAGGGUAAACCCAGAUACGUGUAUCUGGCUGAAAGUACCGUACGAAUAAGGACCGGCUAACUCCGUGCCAGCAGCCGCGGUAAUACGGAGGGUCCAAGCGUUAUCCGGAUUUAUUGGGUUUAAAGGGUGCGCAGGCGGUUUGUUAAGUUAGAGGUGAAAUCCCGUGGCUCAACCACGGAACUGCCUCUGAUACUGGCAAGCUAGAGAAUGGUUGCUGUGGGCGGAAUGUGUAGUGUAGCGGUGAAAUGCUUAGAGAUUACACAGAACACCGAUUGCGAAGGCAGCUCACAAAGCCAUAUCUGACGCUCAGGCACGAAAGCGUGGGGAGCAAACAGGAUUAGAUACCCUGGUAGUCCACGCCGUAAACGAUGAUAACUCGUUGCUGGCGAUACACAGUCAGUGACUUAGCGAAAGCGAUAAGUUAUCCACCUGGGGAGUACGU
rnacentral:rRNA from 1 species